CCUACGGGUGGCAGCAGUAGGGAAUAUUGCUCAAUGGGGGAAACCCUGAAGCAGCAACGCCGCGUGGAGGAUGAAGGUUUUCGGAUUGUAAACUCCUUUUGUUAGAGAAGAUAAUGACGGUAUCUAACGAAUAAGCACCGGCUAACUCCGUGCCAGCAGCCGCGGUAAUACGGAGGGUGCAAGCGUUACUCGGAAUCACUGGGCGUAAAGAGCGCGUAGGCGGGAUAGCAAGUCAGAUGUGAAAUAAUAUGGCUUAACCAUAGAAAUGAAUUUGAAACUGUUAUUCUAGAGUAUGGGAGAGGUAGGUGGAAUUAUUGGUGUAGGGGUAAAAUAAGUAGAGAUAAAGAGGAAUACUCAUUGAGAAGGAGAAAUGAUAGAAAAUAAAUGAAGCUGAUGCGAGAAAGAGUGGGGAGCAAACAGGAUUAGAUAAAAUGGUAGGC
rnacentral:rRNA from 1 species